CUCCCACAGUGCUGGAAUUACAGGCACAAGUCACUAUGCCCAGCCACAUUAAACAUUUUCAUCAUACUGUAUGUACAAAGCUUUAUCUUUUUUUAUGCCACUAAACGUUGUUCAGUUAUGACCAUUUCCCUAAUGUGACUAUUCUUAAUAAACAUGAUUUUAAUGGGUGCAUGGUAUUGCAUAUUCUGAAUAUGCCAUAAUAUAUACUGGUCUCCUCUAAAAAUAAGCGUUCAGGUCAUUUCCUUGUUUCAGUUAGAAACCUGUGAUGAACACUUUAUAUAUCAUGCCCCUCUGCAGUGCAGAUACUUUUGGAAGAAUCCCCUUAUAUUCUGUAAUGCUCAGCUUCAUCAUCUUUGAAUUAAUUAAAAGGCGCCUAUCAAUCUUUCUUGAAUGCUGUGUUUGAAGGAAUAAUGAGCCAGAGUUUGUGAAGGUGCUUUGAAGUAGCUGGAUGAAAGGGACUGUGUAAAUCAUAACAGUAGUAGCCCUGCCAGACUGCUCUCACCACACUUGUCUCUUACACUCCAAUACAGGGGCACCGCCACCCAUUCCCAUGCACCCCCACCACUGCUCAGCAAUUUUGCAUGUUGCUUCCAAAGGGGUUGCUCACCCCUGUAUCCAAACAUCACCACCACAGAUAUUCAGUGUCCUGCCCCACACUGCCAGCACUCCCCACCGAGCACACAGCUGGAAGGAAACUUCAAGAUAAUUUGGUCCAACAUCCCAUUUUUUGAAGGUCAGGAAACUAACAUCCAGAAAGGUUAAAUGAGUUUGCCUGGAAUUUCUUUUAAGGAGAUGCAUUUCCUAAGGGUCAUCAUAUUUCUAAAUCAGUAAGAGUGCUAAGUAAUAUGUUUUGUUAAAUCUGCAUGUUUUUAAAGAAACGAAUACAAGAGAAUAAUAACGUUUCCUUUUGGAAGGGAAGAUCUGCCUGCAUGGCCAGUAACCCAGAGCCCAAGCCAGAUAAAAAUAAUGAUUAACGAACGGAUAAACAGGCUCAUAUGCUUCAUACGUGAUAAAUUAAGGGUCUCAUACUGGCCAGAGAAUCAUGUUAUCUAAGUAAUUUUGAGAAGACAGCCCAUGACCUUAAUAAUUUGCCACUUGUUAUGGCAAAGUUAUUUUGAAAGUUUUCUAGGUAACUGAAGGUCCAGUGUAUGUGCCAGGCAUUUAGUAUAAUCUUAUCUUUCCCCAAAUGUGGACAAAAGUGGUUUUUUUCAGUCACAUAUACCACCGCAUUGAGAACUGGACAUUUGAUAAUCAUCAGCGAUUUUCCCUCCAGGGCCUCCUCAGAUGGCUUUUCUUGAUUACAAACUAUUUUGGAAACUCCAAAUUCUUUCCACUGAUUUAGCAACGAAUCCUCAACUUAUUUUUAAACUGCUGUAAUUGAGCAGCUCUGGGGGUUAACUUGUGGAGUCUGGUCACUUUUAGAUCAAAUUAUCAACCAAACACUCUGCUCUUACCAUCUUGGGACCAUCUUCUAUUUCUUUUGCUGAGAAUAGGUUAACCAAGGGACCUUGAAAUCAUUCAAAGCCACAAUACAAAAACAUCACUUUGGCUUCUCCCAAGUUUAUCCUACUCUUCAUCUGGUGCAAGGAAACGAACAGAAAAACCGGACCCUGUUAAUUAUUCCCAAGAUGACAUCAAUGUGCUCUUCCAUGGCCUUCUACAGCUUGGAGCUGAGCUCAAGGAGCAAGGAGUUAUAGCAGAAAGCACACUGGCCACCUGUUUAAGCGACUGGACCCUUUGAACACCUCUUUAGCUGAGCUUCUAGGUCAGCCAGCAGGAGAGAAGGAAAGAGGGCUUUGAGAGGAGAGAGGAGCAGCUCGACAAGAGGAGUGAAGGCCCCUAUCAGCUGGCUGCUGAGCUCCAGUGUCAACUGGUUGCAGGGAUGACCUACAGGGAGGGAUUUAAUGAGGAGCUGAAGUUGCUGGAGCAAAGUUGGAAGAUGCUGCACCCUUUAAGGCAAGUGGGCUUCCAGUGACAAAGGUGAUGGAUGAUGUCAUGACAGAGCCAAAAAAUUGAUGAAGUGGAAAUGCAGCAAAGCCAACUGCAUGAACAAAGAUGCUGUCAUUCAAAAACUACAGGAAAAGGUUGGCGCUUUUUACUCUCUAUAGCAAUUUGUUGUAAAUAGACUGAUCCCAUCAGAGUGAACUUCAAAUGCCUACUAAUGUCAGUAACAUCUUCUGAUUAUCUGGUGUCUUUUAUUCAAGGAUUCAGAAGGAAAUUGCAAAUACAUUAUUUUAAGGUACUUAUGCAAGGAAAACAGCUGAGGAGAUGAUUUUAUCAUUCAUAUUUCACUACCAGCAAAAUCUAUUUUAAAUGUAACAAUAAAAAAUAGCUAACAUUAUUUCAUUCUUACUCUAUGCAGGCACUGUUACAAGCAUCUAUGACAGGUACUACUAUUAGCCUCAUUCAGAAGAUGAUAAAACUGAGGUGUGAAGAGAAUGCAUUAACUUGUACCAGGUUAGAUAAAAGUGCAAAUUCACAAAGGAACCAGUGAAAAAGGAAAACAGAAGGAAAACUCCUGAUGUGUAGGUUGAAGAGAACAUUCUGUCUUCAGAAAUCAGAGCAAGAAAAAUGGAAGGUAAAACAUGUUCCAGGGCACCAGUCAGAGCCCCACAAGGCUGUCUGCCCUGGGAAAUGGCGCAAGAUUAGAAGGAGGCACUGGGGGUGUUAUCGCAAGCAGCAGCUUGCCCCUUAGUAACCCCUGUCCUCCACAGGCCAGGCUGCAAUAUUUCACAUAAACGCUGGUACUGUACUCUGAACAUCAGGGACCUCUACACCCCUCACAAACAGCAAAUGCAGUUAAGACGCCAGAAAAAAAAAAUGGUAUCAAAUUGUUUAAAAACUCUACAAUAAAUGGUCCAAUAUUCUUUCUCUAUGAUUUUGUAAUGUUAAAAAAAUCCACUGAAAGUCAGAAAUCAAAUGACAGAAAGAGAGAAAGAGAAAGAGAGAGAGAGAGAAAUAAAACAAUAGCCAGUCUUAAUGUCUCUUAUGGUACCACUUUUAAAGAUUUCUUUCAGUGAGAAAACAAUCCAUGCUUUUUCAACUGAUGAUCUGCAAUUUGAAUAUGAGAUAUGGUGAUUUUAUACAGCACAACUCUUAUUACUACUAAUUGAUCUUUGAACAUGAAUUGAUUAAAUAUAGCUGCUAUGAUAUUUGUAGAAUACCUUUUCUAUUACAUUAAUCUCCAUCCCAUUCUUUUCUAUGAGAUAAGUAAAAGUUCCUUUUGAGUGAGAGAUUGGAAAACCAGCAUUCCUUCUGCUAAAUAAAGCAGACCCUCAAGAAUGCUAUCUUUUAGAAAUGGGUGAAAGGAGCCAUCCUUAAAACCCACUUCACUUGUUUAAGUCCAACUAGUUUUCAAUAGCAAAGACCCAAAGGGAAAGCUAGAGUGUUUAUGGUCUUAGGUCUUAUCCAGAUCAGAUUCCCAUAGAAAAGAAUCACAAAUAUCCAAGCAUUCGAAAUCUGCUGGGGAAACCUAACUGCUUUAAGAAAAAAAAAAAUUCUCUCCCCGAUCCUGAUUGAAAAUGAUUUCUAAACCAUACUUUGUUGAACCAACUGAAAUUUUUUUCAAGUAAGAUGCCCAUGUUAGCAGAUUUCCUUCUGAAACACUGCUUGGUAGAUUUAAUAUAUUAAGAGGUUUAUAUAUAAUUCACUCUCACCUUAGUAUGAAUUGGUUUACUCACCCUCCCUCCUUACAAAAAGCUUGGAUUUAUGGACUGAAGGUGUGCAUGAAGAAAAGGAAUAAAAAGAGGAUAGGGUAAUCACUGACUAGGAAGCACUGCUUUGGGGAAGAUCUGGAUGCUUAGAGGCUUAAGGAAAGUGAUGAAGCAAGGGAAGGUGGGAAGGGACCCAAACCAAAUUUUUUCUUUUUUUUUUUUUUUUGAGACAGAGUCUCGCUCUGUAGCCCAGGCUGGAGUGCAGUGGUGCAAUCUCGCCUCGCUGCAAGCUCUGCCUCCUGGGUUCACGCUAUUCUCCUGCCUCAGCCUCCGGAGUAGCUGGGAUUACAGGCGCCUGCUACCACGCCUGGCUAGUUUUUUUUGUAUUUUUAGUAGAGACGGGGUUUCACUGUGUUAGCCAGGAUGGUCUCAAUCUCCUGACCUCGUGAUCCGCCCGCCUCGGUCUCCCAAAGUGCUGGGAUUACAGGCGUGAGCCACCACGCCCAGCCAAAAUUUUUUACUCUACAUUUUUUUCUUAAGAUUGACAAGACAGUCAAAAGGUCCACUGGAUAAAUGUAUCUUUCCUAACUCGCAGCCACUGUCCUUGGAACCCAGGAUGUGGUUUGAAGGGUCUAAGUGAUCUGGAUUUACUUUUUCUUAUUUGUCUUGUGGUUUCUGUAUAGGGAUGGCUCAGAAAUAUGUUCACCAGCUAGAGCCCCAUGUUGGUUUAUUAGAAUCCUAUUUCCAGUGUGGUUUUCUUUUUCUGCCUGAAAGUCAUUUACUAAGAAUGUAUUUUUUUCUAAAUGGGGGAAGGAUUGGAACUACUUUAGCAAGAAACAUUUCAGACAGCCUGCAAAUCUCACCUUUCCAUAGCUACAGUGACCAUUUCACUCAGUACUCUGUACAUUUGAUAAUAUGUAUGUAGAUCUGCAGAUGCUUGGGAGGUGAGUGUGCG
rnacentral:lncRNA from 1 species